UAUAUUCACUGUGUAUCCCCCCUUCAGAGUACAUAUGUAUCUGUAUAGUAAUUAAUUUCAAUAUAGGCACAUCAAAUUACCUUAAUUGUUUCUAGACAUAGACUUAAUCCUUUGGAUUACUUUAUUUUAAUUGGUAGAGUAUUUGCCACUACCUUUCUAUUAUUCAUUCUUUUGCUUUGCAGGUUGUGAAAAAAUUGAUUGGCAUCGGAAAGGAGACUAUUUCACUACUGUCGUUCCUAGUGAUAUCCUAAUUAUGAAUUUUAGUUGUACUUAUUUUUAGUCAUUCCUAGUGCCUAUUUUAUAUCUCAGUUUUGUUUCUUUCUUUUUUCUAAUACACACUGACAAAUUGGAAAUAUAUAAAAAUCAUGACAUUAUACCUAGUUACCUAGCCUUUGAGGCUGGAAUCAGGAUGAAACCUAAAGUGCCCUGAAAAGUUUAGGCAUACCAAAUUCUCUCAGUUUAAUGACAGAGGUGUUUUAGAUUGUAAAUUUCAUCCGAGGCAGCCAUGGCUAUUCACAGCUGGAGCAGAUUCUGUCAUUAAACUGUAUUGCCACUAAUGAUAGAUUCUCCAGGAAACUUUGAAGAAUCUCCUCGAGUCAAGAUACGUUGUGAUUGGCACGGCAAGUGUUCUAAAAUGAAGCCAAAGAAAAUGGGGGAGAAAAUAAGGUUCGGCUUGAGGAAUUUAUGCAAUAAAGCAGUUUUAUAUUUGAUUCCUUCUUUAAUUAUAUUGCGUGUGUUCCUAAGCUGCAACCUAUUAAUAAUUUUAGUUUUAUAAUGUUCUUUGCCACUACCUUUCUAUUAUUCAUUCUUUUGCUUUGCAGGUUGUGACAAAAAUUGAUUGGCAUCGGAAAGGAGACUAUUUCACUACUGUCGUUCCUAGUGAUAUCCUAAUUAUGAAUUUUAGUUGUACUUAUUUUUAGUCAUUCCUAGUGCCUAUUUUAUUCCUAGUCACCUUAUUUCAAUGACAAGAACAAGGGUUCUCAUGGCCAAUAUGUGUCUAUUAAUGGGAUUUUCAAUGUCUUGCUUACCACGCUAAUCCUACUUCUGAUUGGAUUUGCAGCUUCAAGAUAUCAAACUCUACACCUUCUAUAUGGAGCUAGAUUUGCAAAAGCCAUAUCCAACUCGAGGAAGUGACUUAUUGACAUGGGAGAGAACUUAUUGGUAACCAAGGACUUUGUGAAGAUAGCAAAUUUUGGCCUUGCUCGUGAAGUUCAUUCGAAGCCACCAUUCACAGAAUAGGUUUCAACACGCUGUUUACAAAUCUCAAGUACUCCAGAGUUGAAAUUGAUGAAGUGCAGUUCGAGUGGGCUG